CCAGCCUGGGCGACAGAGUGAGACUCCGUCUCAGAAAAAAAAAAAAAAAAAGUAAACCAAGAGUCUGAAAUGGGCUUGAACAAGGCAGUUUAUUGGGGCUUUCACCUUAAGCAGAAAGGGAGACAACAUCAGGAAGGAACCUGCUGCUGGCUUCCCCAAAUCAGGUAAUUUAGGCUUUUCUUUUCCUUUGAGCCUCCUCCAGGUGACAUUCUUGGGGUGGUUCAGCGGUUGUGUCUGCACAGUCUCAUGUCAUACCUUAACAUGCGUGGUAUGUCUCAUUUGCAUCUUAAAUCUCCACCCAGAAAUGUGACUUUUACUAUUAAAAUGAAGCAAAGUUCAAGUUAGGACAAACUAAGAUGUUACUUAGCGAUGGGGAAGGUCUCUUAGAAAGUCUCUACACUUGGCAACCAAGAUGUUUGCGGUUAAAGUGCUUUGUUUCUUUCAGGCCUAAUUGGUCGAUUUUGUGAGAGGAAGCGUCUGUGGUGGCGCAGCUUCCAGGCUGAGUGUAGCUAGUCCAUUAGGAGUUAGCAAGGAAAAACCGGGAGGGAUCCCUGUUCUGUUCUCGCUGUCUCAAUUGCAUACUAGGGAUAUUGUUCCCAGGCUGUUACCGGCGGAGGGUCUUGUUGACUUCAUGAGUUGUCCAGGUUCUUGGCGUUUUGAACAAAUAAUUGAACAAAACACACAAACAAAGCAACAAAAGAAUGAAGCAAGGAAAGCACAGAGUUAUUGAAAGGAAAGUAAAUGCCACAGAGUGGGAGUGAGCUCAAGCAAGCAGCUCAAGAGUGCUGGUUACAGGAUUUUGUGGCGUUUAAAAAUACCCUCUAGAGGUUUCACAUUGGUUACUUGGUUACACCUUAUGUAAAUGAAGGAGUGGCCCAUGACCAGUCUGAUUGGUCGCGGGAGGCAACCAAUCAGAGGCUGAAGAGAAGUUAGGAAGUUGCACAUAAAGGCUUGGCCCCUGACCAAUCUGACUGAUUGCAGGAGGGGGCCAAUCAGAGGUACUUUCCAUUUUUCACAGGGAAAAUGGAAAAUAGGGGUGAGAGGGCAGGGGCGCUUCCAAAAGAAGUAGGCUCUAAUCCUUUUGUUACUUGAGCAUGAAGAAGUGGGGUUUUCCUUUUGAUUCAGUUCUAGGAAAUCCGACUGAAUUGGCCCUAGGUUUUCUGCCUCCAGACCCUAUUCUCCUGCCUCAAGGCUAAGCGUCUCCCCCACAACUGCUCCCACCCCGGCACCCCUGCCAAACUGCCUCUCUGAAGGCCAACUUGUGAAAUUCUCUAUUCUUGCAUGAAGAUAAAGAGGUGUAUGUCUAAAUACAGCUGUACCUGCCAGUGGAUCCUGGUCCAGCCCCUUACUGGAGGUGUUGCAGUUUUCAGAGAUUUUGAAGGCUGAAGAUGAAAAUAAGUAGUGAGACUAUUGUUCUCUGCUUGACCACUACUCCCCUAUGACAAAGUUUGGAAAAAGCCUUCAGCCGGACAGAAUAUAAGGAGUGGUUCAGAUUAACUUGCAAAUCGAAGGGAAUUGUUACCACCAGCAAGAUGAAAUCAGUUUACUUAUUUAGGUGAUGGGAUGAUCUGUGUAGCAAGGCAUUG